UAAAACAGUUUUGCUGCAUUCAUCUGUCGCUGUAGCUCUGCCGCCUUCCAGGUUUCUGCUUUGGUCUUAAGGUGACAUUUGAAAAUUCUUCCAGGACAAUUAUCGUUGUUUCCUUUAAGAUUUGCUGACACUCUUUUUCAUUUAUUUAUUUCUGUUUUAAGGUGCUUAAGAUACACAUGUCACAUGUGUAUUUUACACGGAACACUUUCAUUUCUUGCUUUUUAAAGUCCUUUUCAAAUCUGUUUUCUGGGGCUGGAGCGAUGGCUCGGUGGUUUAGGGCUCGGUGGUUUAGAGCAUUUACUGCUCUUCCGAAGAAACAAGGUUUGGUUUCCUGCACUCAUGAUGGCCAUGAACUCACCAUCUGAAAUAAAGUGAUGGUAAUACGAAACAGGGCCUCUGAGGAGCAAUUGGGCCACGAUAGAGGACUUCAUGAAUGGCACUGUUGCUCUGAGAGAAGAGGCUCCAGAGAUCUGCCGGGCCCCUCUGUCAUGCAAGGAUGCAACACGGCAAUACCAUGUGUCUGGACUGAAGCUCUAAAUUUGACAGCACUUUGACCUCAAAUGUCCUGCAUUGUGCAACUAUGAGGAAUAAUUGUUUACUGUUCAUGACCCACACAGUUUCUGUGAGUUUUGUGAGUGUGGCUUGAAUGAACUCUUCCUGACUAUCAACUUGAAUUCUGCUAGGAGAUGCACACAGCACCGGGGCAGAGGAACGACCAUGCUGGAGGGGGUGGUCACCAUAAGUGCUAUGCCGCUGUUUCUUCUGAAUUGAGACUCACGAGCUCAAAAGCUGAAUAAAACCUUUAAGACUCUGGAAGUCAAUACAACUUAAGAAGCUGGAAAGUGUGGAAGAUUCACAAGGCUUUCCCUCAAGGUCGUAUAUACAGUAAACAACGGCUGGGGGUCGCUGGGGAGUGGAGACUCUUCAGUGGACUUGACUGCAAGAUGUGCUCUCAGGACGUAGCUGCUUUUAAGUGAUCUGUGUUGCUGUAGUUACUGCAGUAAAUUCACUGUCACCAAGCUAACAGGCAGAACCCUUCUUUGGCCUGUUAUUGAUGUUCUAACUGGGAUGAAUAGAGAUUUGUUCACGUCUCCAUAGGAAAAGCCACAAAACAAGUCUAGUGUAUUAGUUACUUUUGUAUUACUGUAACUAUCGUUCCAUGACAGAGGGUCUCAGUCAAUCACGUUGGAGAGGACACAAUGGAGUAGCUGAGACCAUUUUGGCAAGAGUAUGUGGUAGAAACUUUUCAUAUCACAAUGGGCCGGGAAGCAGAAAGCAUGACGGGCAGUUGGCAGGGAUGGCAUACCCACAAUAACCUACCCCCUGUAACUUACUCCUUAGAGGUAGACCCAUCUUCCCAAGGCUUCAGGGACUACCUAAAACAACACCAUCAGGGGACAUGCACUCAAAACAGGAGGCUGUGACAGACACUUCAGAUUCAAAUCAUCACACCAAGCUUUGGAACAAAGCUUCCAAAGAAGCCAACCCUACUGGCACACUUCAUUUAUACUUUAGAUCGCAAGCCUGCCAAAAGUAAAUCUAUGUUGCUUAAUAUACUCAGUCUCUGGUAUUUUAUUAUGGCAGCCAGAACAAGCCAAACCACUUCAUGUUCAAACAAAUUCACAGUUAUUAGGCAGUGAAUUAUACCCAUGCCCUCCCCCAAUCUGUUGAAGCCCUAUGCCUGUCUUACUUAGAGGACCUUUAACAGAGGUAAUUCAGAUUAAAUGAAGUUCUAAGGGUGAUGCCCUAAGACAACAGGGCAGGGACAUUGAGGGCACUCCUUCUUGCCUUUGUUCUCUUUUUCUCUCUCUUCUCCUCUUCUGUUUUUUCUUCUCCCCCUUCCCCCUUCCUCUCUCUCUCUCUCUCUCUCUCUCUCUCUCUCUCUCUCUCUCUCUCUCUCUCUCUCUCUCAGACCAUGUGAGGAUACAGUGUUAGAUGUGCAUAUGAGCCAGGAAGGGAGAUCUAAUGAGACCCCUACCCUGCAGGCUUCUGGUGCUUUAACGUGAACUUUUCUUGUGAACUCUCAUCUCUGAGAAAGCACAGUAUGCUGCCUCAGCACCCAGCCUGCAGUCCUGUCUCGUACCAGCACUGGCAGAACAGUGUGCUUCCCAAGUUCAUACUCAUUCUAAGUUCCCAGGUGGUUUCCAUAUGUACCUCACGGAAAAUGAAACCUUUCAAAGUCAGCAUUCUAACGAAGCAAGAGAGGCCAUCAACAAGGGCUGUGGAUAGAUCCUGUUUACUUUGAUUUGGCUCAUGUUCAUCUUUCUUUGGAUGUAAUUUCAAAAAUAGUCACCCUAUAUCCUCUGCCAAGGCAGAGUCUGGGAAAGGUAAGAAAAGGGUUCUGCUAAUUCUUCUGUUCAGCGUUUGGAUUGAAGCUGUAACUGGAGACUCUGAAAUCACUGAGGCCCUUAACCUCCCCUCACUCUCCCCACCCUCAGCUUGAUCUCAGAGGGGCAGCCCCCUUGCCUUGCCUUUCGUGUUCCAGAAUGUGGCCAAGACCAAGAAAAGAAAAUGACCACUCCUGAUGCUGGAGGCUCUGAGUUCAGCCAGUUCACCCUGGUCACAGAGAACGGAGACAGAGUUGGGUUUCUUGCAUCUGUUCCAUGACCUUCCCCUGCCACUGGCUUUGCACAGAGCCUCGAACACUCGAGGCCACCAAUGCCACAGCGCUUGGGAGGUCAGGAGAAUCUGAGAGUCUGUCACUUGGCUGAUAUGGUGGUUACCCAAACUAAAGAAAGCAUGACCUUUUAACUGCUUUCUUAACCUCAAACCUGUGUGGUUUGAUUAAGAAGAGGGUAUUUCCACCUUCCCAGUAGAAAGCAAAAAAUGCAAAAACUGAUUCAACUUUCAAAAGGCUCAAACCUGGUACAAUAACUCAUGGACACGCCGUAAAAUAUAUGACCUGUUUUGGCAGAUAAAAUGGAAGCAUCAAGUUAAGACAUUUAAAAAUCAUAGAAUAGCUGACAGCAACACUACCCACCCCCUCACUCCCCCACCCUCUACCCCCUAACCCCCUCUGUCCUGGAACUCAUUAUGUAGCCCAAGCUGGCCUCACACUCACGGCACUCCACCCGCCAUAGCCUCCCAGAUGCUGCCAUUACAGGCAUGAGCCACCACACCCAUCGUAAAUAAGGUAAUGCAGCUAGGUAACAUCACUUUUUCUCCAGCAGAGAGAGGGGUGAACCCAAGUUCUCACAAAUGUUAGAUGACCUCUCUAGCCACCGAGUCACAUCCCCACACAACUUCCUUUGUAUCCGUUCACAAAUGACAGCUAUUCAUUUUUUUUUUUUUUGAAAUCCUGCAGGCAUGGAACAGUGAAAGUAUUUGUCAAUAAAUUCCUGCAGAAAGUUCGUCAAGUUUUUCUGUAUGGAAGUCUACAGACUGCGCAAUGAGCAACAAUCUGUUUCUAUGGUCUGUGUUUUAGACCAGGUUUUACCUGAGCAAUGGAUAGCUAUGAUAUGUUGAAUUUGGGUAAUAACUGAAAUUCAUAACUAUCAUAAAACCAUCCUAUGCCACUACACCAUGCAAUAUUGUUAUGCCUGUCACCCUAAUACAUCUUCCUAUGGGCCUUUUGUUGAAAUAACAUUUUCCUGAUAAAAUUUAAAUGAAUGCAUUAAAAAGCAGAUGUCAGUUUCCACAAAA